CCUGGCCCUGGGUGGGACAUCAGGCCAGGCCAGGGGGCUAUGUGUGAGGGCACAGGGGUGAGGUCGGGAGGAAGCAGAGGUGGGAGGCAUGGUCUGCUCUAGGGGCUCCGGGGUUUGAAAGCAUCCUCGGAGAAGCAGCGCAGAAUCAGCACAUUCGGGGACCAUGUGCGGACUCAUCCCAGGGCCCCGGGUCUUACUCACCCCUUGCUGAGGCCCGUUAUCCCCACGAAGACCCGAUGGCCUGGUUCUCCCCCACUCCUCCCCCUGAUGUAGGGGUAGGAGCCGCCGCCUGGGCCCUGCGUCUCUGGAGGACGGUGUGUAUCAGGAGAGAGGGAGCAGGAGGGGAGGCAGCAGCACAGCUCCUGGGCCCGAGCCCGCCGCUUCAAACGUCUGGUCCGGCGCUGCAGCGGGCAGGCUUCAAGGACCAAAUGAGAAACAGCAUCCAGGGCUAUUUCUCGGAUGUGCCAAAUGCUCAGUUGCUCAGAAGGGGCCCCGCCUGCCUGGAUGCUCUGAUGUCACCAUCCUGAAAUUCUUAAUCAGUUUGGAUCAAGGGGCCCUGCAUUUUCAUUUUACACUGGGCCCCCAAAGUACACAGUUGGUUCUGGAAGAGACCCUGUCCUGGGGCCCCCACUGGUCCCUGCUCCCCGAUUCAGUCUCCAGAUGGUCAGCUCACAGCUCCCCUUCCCUCCCGGCCCCCAGCCCCUCCCUUACCUGCUCUGCCUGGUCUGAGCCCCUCAGCUGCCCCUUUAUGCCCAGGUGCUGCCCAGGCACCCCCACCACAAGUGGGACCUUGAAGCCUCCACCCUUUUCAAGGGCUCCAGCAAGAACCCAGGAGCCCUUGGUCCAGGGUGAUCUGGCAGGGGUGCUGGGUGCUCAGUGUUUGUGUUCCUGUCCACAGCCCGCAGACAAGGGAGCCACACAGGCAAGACCAAGCCCAUGGGACAUGGUAAGAACCAACGAGGGGAUGGGAAGGGACGGUCACAAACCAAGACAAAGGGAAG
rnacentral:lncRNA from 1 species